UUUCAGUUUGCCUCUGUCAAUGACCUGGUAUAUGUGGUGUAUUCCCCCUCUCUUCCAGGCGUCUUCGCGGAAUGUAGGUAUUUCCAUGCCUAUUGUUUGUAUUGGUGUGGCCAGGGGUAAUUUGGGAUUGGACACCAAAUUGUUUCUCAUUGUGUUCCAUACCCUCAUCAAGUUCUGUGUGCUGGGUAGCAGGUUUUCUCUUAUGUGUUUGGGACACUUCUGUAGCCAUAGUACCGCCCUGAGGUUGUGUUGUGGGGCCCAGUGGGAUUCUAUUGCUACCCACUGCGGGGCUUGGGCCGGGCGGUUAAUUUGGGCUAUGUUGUGUAGAUAAGCUGCUCUACAGUACGUUGUUAGGUUUGGCAGACCCAGCCCACCUUUGCUCACUGUUUGGUGUAGUGUUCCUGCUGCUACUCGUACCUUUUUCCCUUCCCAGACGAAUGUGUUUAAUGAGUGUUGUACGCUUUUUAGAAACCGUUUCGGGACG